GCGGCACCACACGCACUUGGUGGGGGAAGCCGGUCCAACUCCGGCACUGUCCCGCAGCCGUAGGUCGCCCCUCGGGGUGGCAAGUCGGAAUGCCUGCCAGGCGCGAGCGGCUCCA
rnacentral:ncRNA from 2 species